rnacentral:pre_miRNA from 1 species
ACACAGGUCGCCCAGGGAUCUUGUGAUCAUGCAGGUUCUGGUUAAGAGGUUUGUGGAGGGGGCCAGGACCUGUAUUUCUAACAAGCUCCCUGGUGAUCCCUGC